rnacentral:lncRNA from 1 species
UAAACUGGUUUAAAUCAUCCAAUUUCCUUCUAUUAAAAACACUAACUGGGCAUCAUGCCAAAUAACAAGGUUUUUUUUACUAGUGAUUUGCCCUAAAUCUCCUUUGUUAGUUUGUUCUCAAAGACAAUGAGCGAUUCAAUUAUCUCGAGCUCAAUCCAAUUGUUAAAGAGUUUUCUCUUUUAUUCUGGGUAGUUGUGGUUUUUCUAAUACUCAUGUUAAGGUUGUUGUGCAUCUACACCUUAAAGACACGUUUAGUAAUAUGUCUUUGCAACAUCCCAGAAUCUUCUUUUUGUGUUUCUUCGAGAUCUUCUAGCUGACUCUUUAAGCAAAUUGACGAAUCUUUUUCUUUUUGAUUCUCUGAAAAAUUUGAUUGGACUCGCCUUUUCUUAUUUUGGUUUGCAAGUAGUGGUUAAAAGCUUGCAUUGGUAGCCAAGUACCUGUGUGGUGUUGGUGGGUAGUAUGUGAUGAAAUUGGUGACAAUUAUCGUAAAUUUGUAAUCUGUGAUAUAUCUUGUAUUUCUAGAUGUAUGUGGAGAUUUUAUCCCGUCAUUCAUAUCCAUUCCAAGUGACCAAAUUUUUCUAAACUACGAUGCUUGCGGGUGUCCACACAACUUACCCGUGAAACCGAAAGCUACUAUCCAUUGUUCCAUCAUGUCAUCGAGUACCAAUUCCCAACACACCAGCUUUGUACUUGAUGACAUGAUUGAAUGGUGGGUAGUAGUGUUCAAUUUCACGGCAGAAGCUGUGGGGACAGCCGCAAGCAUUUGGAGUGGAUGUGAGUGACGACAUAAACUCUCCACAUCCAUCAUCCAUCUAGAAUGAAAAGAUAUCACUGAUUGCCAAUAUUACCAUUGACUUCACUAGUUUCAUCCUCAUACCACCCUACAACAUUACACAUGUACUUCGCCGCCAACCCAAACUUUCAACCACAGCUUGCAAACCAUAAUUUCGAAAAAUAAAACUAGCCAAAUCAAAAGUUUAUGAGGAUAAAAAAGAAACAAUUCAGAAAUUUGCUUAAAGAAUCAGAUGGAAGAUCUUGAAGAAAUACAAAGAGACGAUUCUUGAAUUUUGCAAAGAUUUGAGGGUUGAUAAACGUGUGUUUAAGGUGUGGAUCCACAACCACAAAAAACACGAGUCAAAUAAAACCACCAAGAAAAGGGAGGAUACUCUUGUACCUCUUAAUUAAGCCUGAUGAUCUUGAUUAUGGGUGGUAAAGUUUGUUCGUGUUGUCAUCCAAUUUGAAGCAACCAUCAAUAUUUAGCUUCUUGAUAUAGCAGAAGUUUGAUCCAAAGUUUGAGGAAUUGGAUUCGGUAAUAUGGGAUGUAUGCAAAACCCUACUGAGUAACUCAGUGUGGCUCCGGAGAAGAGUCGGUCGAACCCCUUUUUUUCACCACAUGCAUUGUUGCCUCAGAAUGUUAGCUCGUGGUGUUGUGUUCCGAACAUAGUUCCGUUCUCCUUUAGAGAUCUCUUGGAUCUCCACAACUCAAGCGGCUUGAAGGAAUAGGAAAAAGAAGCUUUCCACGGUAUCAUUAUCAUCGGUUGUUGGAGUUUCUGGAAAGAGGAAUGGGCUAAACUUUUCGAACAAGCAGGUGAAUAUUGAAGACAUUAUUAGUGAAGUCAAAUCGGUUGGGUUUUUUUGGUUUAAAAGUAGGUCCAAAUACAAGUCUAUUUAUUGGGCGCAUUGAUGUAAAUUUAUAAUUAUGUUGUCGGUUCGUUUUUUUUGUUUGUUGCCCCUGUUUUGCGGGGUGGGGCUUGGGUGGUGUUUCGCGGGGUGGUGCUUGGGUGGUAAAUUCAUAAAAAAAAAUAUCUUUAGUUUCCUUCUAAAAUGUGAAGUCGACUCAGGGUGAAGUAUAUAUGUGAGAAUUCUGGUUGAACUUUCUAAUUUUUAUUUGUCACUGAACUUUAGGUAGGAUAAUGCAUCUAUUUGUGGUUUAUAUUCAAUUAAAGUUAAUGUUUUUACCGUUUUAGGAAUAAAGUUUUAAAACCUUAAUGUGGAGUCGUAUUCUGAUAGCAAUGGACAACCGUUUACUUGUUUUAGACUAAACUUGAUUUGCUUUUGUUUAAAAAUUCAGUUGAAUCUGUAACUUUUGUCAAUCUUAUCAUCUGAGGGUAUUAACAGAAUUGCUCAAGAUCACAAAAAUAUUGUUUUUAAAGUUAACACUUGGCACCAACCCUUGAAUGAUUUCAGAAUUCUGCAUACUCGAAAAGUGUGAUCAGGGUUUUUUAGAAACACCUUAGGGGAUAUUCUAAGGUUCGUGUCGGGGCACUCUGCGGAGGUUUUGGGAUUUCAGGUUGGCCCUUGAAACAACAAAGGACCGGAAUGGUAUUGAGCAAAUCGUCCUUCAGAAUACACAAAGAGUUUCAGCUAGGGUUAGUUUGUUAAAUACAAGAAUUACUGUUUAGUUUAUUGAAUGUUCUAUUUCAAUUAGUCUUCAUCUGGUUAGCUUGCAUGGUGAUCAAGUAGUUUCAUGGAGAAAUGAAAGAGGCGAAGAACUUCUGU